AUGCAAGAAGAAUUACAUCAGUUCAAGCUCAACAACGUCUGGGAACUAGUCAAUCGUCCAGAUCCUCGCAAACACAAUAUCAUUGGCACAAAGUGGAUCUACCGCAACAAGCAAGAUGAAAAUGGCCUUGUGGUGAGGAAUGAGGCACGACUUGUAGCUCAAGGCUACACACAGGUUGAAGGAAUUGAUUUCGAUGAAACUUUUGCACCUGUUGCUAGACUUGAGGCUAUUCGCAUAUUACUUGCUUAUGCUAACCAUCAUGAUAUCACUUUAUAUCAAAUCGAUGUGAAAAGUGCAUUCCUCAAUGGUAAGCUUGAGGAAGAAGUAUAUGUUGCUCAACCCCCAGGUUUUGAAGAUCCAAAGCAUCCUGACAAAGUCUUCAGACUCAAUAAGGCCCUGUAUGGCCUCAAGCAGGCCCCUCGGGUGUGGUUUGAUACUUUGAAGGAAUUCCUCAUGAAGAAAGGCUUCAAACCCGGUUCACUCGACCCAACUCUUUUCACUAAAUCUUAUGAUGGUGAAUUGUUUGUGUGCCAAAUUUAUGUUGAUGAUAUCAUUUUUGCCUGUAGUGACCAACGUUACAAUGAUGAAUUUGCCUAUAUGAUGAGUGAAGAAUAUCAAAUGUCUAUGAUGGGAGAAUUGAAAUUCUUUUUCGGUCUUCAAAUUCGUCAACAGCGUAAUGGCAUUGAUACGUCUCCAACGUAUCUAUAA
rnacentral:rRNA from 1 species